GCGAAGGUGGCGGAAUUGGCAGACGCGCCAGAUUUAGGUUCUGGUGCCCGAUGGGUGUGCGGGUUCGAGUCCCGCCCUUCGCA
rnacentral:tRNA from 1 species